rnacentral:rRNA from 1 species
CACGUAGGGCGCGAGCGUUGUCCGGAAUUAUUGGGCGUAAAGAGCUCGUAGGCGGCCUGUUGCGUCCGCUGUGAAAGCCCGGGGCUUAACCCCGGGUCGGCAGUGGAUACGGGCAGGCUAGAGGUAGGUAGGGGAGAAUGGAAUUCCCGGUGUAGCGGUGAAAUGCGCAGAUAUCGGGAGGAACACCGGUGGCGAAGGCGGUUCUCUGGGCCUUAACUGACGCUGAGGAGCGAAAGCGUGGGGAGCGAACAGG